UGUGUUUGUUAAUCAAAGGUGCUGGUUCGAGCCUGCUUUCUGUCUUUUUUUUUUUCACUUUAUUUUCCCCUUCUCAAAAUAGCUACUGUCAGUCUGUCACCCAAACGAUAGGCCAGAGAAAGUUGUUGACGGUUUCAGGUCGACCACGACAGCCUCACCAACGAUAGGCCAGAGAAAGUCGAACCCCAGGCGACCAAAGACCACCACGGUGGCCAAAACGCUGGUGGUCGGCGGGUUAUUACAAGAGAUGACGACUAGGGUUUUUUUAUUGUGGUGGUGUGGGUUACAGUAGAGGCGAGGAAGACGAUGAGCGAUGAUGGUAAUAGCAGAGAUGAAGGCUUGAGGAACUAAGCAUACGGCUUAUCUUAGCGAGAUUUCCGCUUCCGGCAAGGUUUCCGGCUACCUCCAGUGCGGUGUUUGAGUCACAAUUAUUUCUUGAUGCUAGGUGAAUACAGGUCUAGGUAAAUUGUUUGGGUGUUUUGAUGUGAAUGCUUUGAACACGAGUUCGAUUCUGCAGCAACCUUUUUGCGGUGGCUGACGGUACGAGUGGCGAUUUCUUGAUGGUUGUAAAUAACUUCCUUCUCAGAUCUCACAUGUUAUCUCUCUCUCAUUCGCUCACAUCUCUCUAGUUUUGGUAUAGCACCACCGUCACCAUUGAUCUCCGCCGCCACCGCCUAGAUGACAUUACUUCCUUAUCAAUGGUAGCGGCUGAUGAAGCCUUAUGGUGGUUGUCGUGACGGUACGAGUGGCGAUGUCUUGAUGGCUGUAAAUAACUUUAUCCUUUUUCGUUCAAUGAUGGUGACCGGCGGCCUUUAAACAUUGAUGAAGAUGCUUUUAAUGUUACUGGUUUCUUGAUGGAUUUUACGGUUAUGGUUACCUGACGCCUUGAGAAAUCGAUGAUGAAACAUGGGAUGUGAAUAGAAUUUAGAAUGUUAGUUUUUGUAUGACUCUGAGAUAGUUUAGAGCCUGUGUUGGUGUUUAUUUCAUGCUUUGUGCAUGAUGGUGUUGAGUAGCCGCGCCGGCAUCGGUGCAUAACCAACAUCUUCACACCGUUUGCAACCAGUGGUUUGUGCUUGAUGUUUUUAAGGUGUCGUUGCCGGUGACAGUACCGAUAUCGACGAAUGUGGUUGUGAUGAGGUGUGAUUUUACUUGCACAUUCAUGAUAGUGGUAUGGCAUUGUUGGUGGAUGGUAGGUUUUGAACCUGCAACCACUUCUUUCGACACUUCUUUUGAGCCUAAUUUUGCGAUUAUGAUUUUCAUUUUAGUUUACUUUUUGUAGCCGUUUUCCCAGGUUUGAUUGUUGCGUAGGGGCUGGCUGUUGCUGCUUUGAUGAGGCUUAAGGUGAGUUGUUUGUGCAUUUUGUUGCGUACAGAAUAUGUAUUCUCUAAGUGAAACCGACAGUUUUCAGUUACGAGUUUGUAUGAGUUUCUAUUAUUUGUCAAUUUAGUUCAUGUAACUUCACUUCAAAUGAGAUAUUAUUGCCGAUCAAUAGACUAACAACCCUAACAUGAGAUGAUAUUCCACAACAAUAAGCAUCUCCUGUUUAGCAUAUGUGUGAUUGUGGUUGUCGUCUGAUGUGAAAUCUAGACUUUCUAAUUUGAAGAUUGUAGGAAUUUUUGUAGUGAUUUCUCAAUUGUUUUGUUCAACAAUUUACCCUCUUUCCAAAAACGUCAUUUGAUUGUUUGUAAUGGUUGAUAGAUUCAAAGCAGAUAGAUGUUUACCUUCUGAUAGGUACGGACAACAUGAAUUUCCACUUUAUUUCGUUUUUGGUUCCAGAACUUAUGCCUACCAGGUGUUUGGCGUUAUGCUCUUCAUUUUAUUUGAAGUUUAAAGUGGGUAAAUUAAUAUGUGUGAUAGGUUGAAGGAGCGGUACCGGAAGACGGACGGACGUACAGUAUUUAGGAUACUUUUGCCCAUGCAUGUAAUGCCAUUAGAUUGGAUAAUGCAUCUUUUUUGGUCCAUGCAGAACUGGUUAACUUUGUGCAAAUGUAUUUAGGGGUGUUUGGAUGUGUGUAAAGCGGUAUCAAGGUAUCCUACAAACCAACAUGAACAAACUUCUUUUAGCGCUGAUAUAUGGAUGAGUCAAACAAACUGAUAUAGCAACUUAUGACGAAUAUAACGAGGUCGUAUUUGGCAUUAGUUUACUUUAUAUUUUGGCCUCAAUUUAUUUUCGUUUUAUAAGCUAUUUUAAUAUUUUUAUGAAACUUAGUAUAAGUAGAUGUAUAAAGGGACCAGGAUUACCCUUCUAUUGAGAAUAAGAGUGAAAGACCUAACCCUUUUUAGGCUUUCUUUAGU